CUCAGAUUGCUCAAUUGGCUAGCUCUUCAAAUACAAGGCAACCUGGUUCUUUACCAUCUCAACCAACUCAUUCCAAAGAGAACGUGAAUGCUAUUGCUCUUAGAAGUGGUCGCACAUAUGAUGGUCCCCCAAUGCCUACUCAAGAUGUUUCUACUGAGAAAGAAACGGAAAGCACUAAAGAUGACAAGGUGGAUGAAGUUGUUGAUCAGAAAGAUAAUGGUGGAACUGAAGG
rnacentral:lncRNA from 1 species